AACACAUGUCUUUUUGAUAAAAAUUUAAAGUCCGGUCUGCUCACUGAAUUAUUUUAAAGAGCCGCAGUAUAUUGACUGUGCAAAGGUAGCAUAAUCAAUAGUUUUUUAAUUGAAAACUAGAAUGAAAGAUUAGACGAAAAAUUAAUUUUCUUUAUUUUAAUAAAUUUAAUUUUAAAUUUAAGUGAAAAUGCUUAAGUAUAAUUAAAAGACGAGAAGACCCUAUAGAUUUUUAUUAUUGAAAUAAAUUUUUAAAUUUAAUUUAAUAAAAUAAUUUAAUUGGGGCGAUUUUAUAAUAUAAAUAACUUAAUUUUUUAAAACCAUAAAUAAUUGAAUGUUUGAUCUAAAAUUUUUAAAGGAAAGAUUAAAUUACCUUAGGGAUAACAGCGUAAUUUUAUUUAAGAGUUCAUAUCUAUAAUAAAGUUUGCGACCUCGAUGUUGAAUUAAGAUAAUAUAUUGGAGUAGAAAUUAAUAUAAUUAGUCUGUUCGACUAUUAAAUUCUUACGUGAUCUG
rnacentral:rRNA from 1 species